UGUUCUCCCUGCUUGACCCAUCCCACUGCGUUUCUGACUGCACUUGGACAUGGUGAAGAUUGGUAGCAUUGAGCUCAGAUCCCAGUCAAGAAAUUUGAAAUUGGAUUUGAGGGAAAGAAAACAAAAACAAAAUGCAAUCAACAGGGACAGGGAAGAAAAGAGUUGCUGAAGAGUGUGAGCCUCCAGAAGCUGGAAUAGGAAAGAACAGAACCAUUCAAGCAUCCCCUGGUAUGGUGUUCCUUCCUCAAGUCCCUGCAAUUGGUCUGGUCCUGCGUCUCACUAAGCACACCCUUCUUGUGCCAUCUCUCAGGAUCUCUGCCUAAUUGAAG
rnacentral:lncRNA from 1 species